rnacentral:rRNA from 1 species
AGUGAACGCUGGCGGUAGGCCUAACACAUGCAAGUCGAACGGCAGCACAGUAAGAGCUUGCUCUUACGGGUGGCGAGUGGCGGACGGGUGAGGAAUACAUCGUAAUCUACUUUUUCGUGGGGGAUAACGUAGGGAAACUUACGCUAAUACCGCAUACGACCUACGGGUGAAAGCAGGGGAUCUUCGGACCUUGCGCGAUUGAAUGAGCCGCUGUCGGAUUAGCUAGUUGGCGGGGUAAAGGCCCACCAAGGCGACGAUCCGUAGCUGGUCUGAGAGGAUGAUCAGCCACACUGGAACUGAGACACGGUCCAGACUCCUACGGGAGGCAGCAGUGGGGAAUAUUGGACAAUGGGCGCAAGCCUGAUCCAGCCAUACCGCGUGGGUGAAGAAGGCCUUCGGGUUGUAAAGCCCUUUUGUUGGGAAAGAAAAGCAGCAGGUUAAUACCCCGCUGUUCUGACGGUACCCAAAGAAUAAGCACCGGCUAACUUCGUG